UAAAAUAAAUCAAUGGCCUGCAUGCCUCCUCAGAAGUCGCAGAUUUGGUCAUGGAUUUAGGGUUGCUGAUCGAUUGUGUUGUUGCUGACCUUGGUCAAAUAAGGGAGGCUUCUAACAAAAUUCAUAGCAAAUCAGAGACUCAGACAGCAGAAUGGGAAGUAGCCUCCGAAUCCAUUUCCAAAAGUGUUGAGUUGGAAAAAAACUUCUGAGAAGAAUAAGAAGGAA
rnacentral:lncRNA from 1 species